rnacentral:rRNA from 1 species
GACGAACGCUGGCGGCGUGCCUAACACAUGCAAGUUGAGCGACGAACCGGGCUUCGGCCCGGGGCAAAGCAGCGAACGGGUGAGUAUCACGUGAGUAACCUACCCCGAUGACCGGGACAACUCGAGGAAACUCGAGCUAAUACCGGAUGUGGUGUCCACACACAAGUGUGUCCAUCAAAGGAAGCUUCGGCCUCCGCAUCGGGUUGGGCCCGCGGCCCAUUGGCUUGUUGGUGAGGUAAAGGCUCACCAAGGCUCCGAUGGGUAGCUGGUCUGAGAGGACGAUCAGCCACACUGGGACUGAGAAACGGCCCAGACUCCUACGGGAGGCAGCAGUGGGGAAUCUUGCGCAAUGCGCGAAAGCGUGACGCAGCAACGCCGCGCGGAGGACGAAGGUCUUCGGAUUGUAAACUCCUGUCGAGAGGGACGAAUGCCGUGAGGGUGAACAAUCCUCACGGUUGACGGUACCUCCAGAGGAAGCCCCGGCUAACUCCGUGCCAGCCGCCGCAGUAA